rnacentral:rRNA from 1 species
UACGUAGGGGGCAAGCGUUGUCCGGAUUUAUUGGGCGUAAAGAGCGUGUAGGCGGCUUCACAGGUCCGUUGUGAAAACUCGAGGCUCAACCUCGAGACGCCGGUGGAAACCGUAAGGCUAGAGUCCGGAAGAGGAGAGUGGAAUUCCUGGUGUAGCGGUGAAAUGCGCAGAUAUCAGGAGGAACACCGGUGGCGAAGGCGGAUCUCUGGGCCGAUACUGACGCUGAGGAGCGAAAGCGUGGGGAGCGAACAGG